GCUUCAUCUUUCUUCUUGUCAACUUUUUUGUAUGAGUGCAGGUCAUUGGAAUAUGCAGUUUGGAUCAGUAGUGUUCCCAUUUCACAGUAUAUUAGGACCAUUCGAAACAAAUGGAACAGGCGCAUUAUCUAUGCGUCUUGUCCUGCUGAGGUGGACGCGCCAAACUCUUUUAAGUGUACAAGAAGUAUAUACGUCUUCUUUGACGGCGCUUGCUUUUCCGCGCGACCGUACGGUGUUUGAGGCGAGCGACACCCGCGUGUUGACUGUUGAAUUAAACGUUUUUCCGACUAGCACGUUGG